rnacentral:lncRNA from 1 species
UUUCCGUGGAAAGACCUAUUGGAUUUCUUCUGAUUAUUAUUAUUAUUAGGUCUUUCCACUUUUCCGUGGAAAGACCUAUUGUAUUUGUUCUGAUUAUUAUUAUUAGGUCUUUCCACCUUUCCGUGGAAAGACCUAUUGAAUUUGUUCUGAUUAUUAUUAUUAUUAUUAUUAUUUUUUUUUUUUUUUCUUCCGCCUAAUUUUUUUUCUUGCGUAUUAUUGAUGUUUCAAAAGAUGUCGCUUAGAUAUUUGGAAUAUGGUAUCGUAUAGUUUAUACGCUUUAAAACUUUACAACUGUGUAACAAAAUACUUUACGUUGUAAGAGUUAUCUCCCCAAACACUGUUUUUCUUGUGGCCACUACUCCUUCGCAACCGUUAAAGAUUACGACAAAUUUAUUUUACCAAAUUGCUCGUUACAUCUUCAGGAUUAGGAUAUUCAUUUGGACCAAAGCUUUACGGAGACUCCAUAUGAGAGUUAUUCCCCCUUUUCCAUUUAAUUAAGUGAUAUGCAUUUCUAAAUGGUAAACCAUAAGUGAUAAAGACAUAGGGUCUUUAGAUUUGGGGUCCUUGGUCGAAAAUAAUAAAAAUGAGGUCAAGGUCAAAGGUCAAGGUCAUAUUCUAAAUUUUGAUUUUGGCUUAUUUUCAUUUAUUUUCAAAUACCUUAUGACAUAUCGACAAAUAAUUUUUCAUAAAUUGUUAGUUGCGACAUGUCCUUACUUGUAUAUUUUGAUUGAAAGGGUGCGCAGACAAUAAAUGGGAGUUUUUGCCCAUCUUACAUUUAGAAUUACGCGUAAAGUGAUAUUACUAAUAAACCAAACAUAUUAAAGACCUUGGGUCUUUUGAUUUAAGGUCCUUGGUUUGUGAACUUGAAAUUGAGGUCAAGGUCAUAGGUUGAUAUGACGUUCUAUAUUUUGACCUUUGCUUUAAAUUCAUAUAAAUACAUCAUAAAGCCAUAGGAACUAACAUUUUAAACUGAUUUUUAAUAUUUCAAUAUCAAAAUAGAUCUUUACUAGUGGAAAGACCUACAAUUGUUCUCUGAACAAUUGGUUUUUAAUUAGGUCUUUCCACCUUUCCGUGGAAAGACCUAUUGAAUUUGUUCUGAUUAUUAUUAGGUCUUUCCACCUUUCGGUGGAAAGACCUAUUGAAUUUGUUCUGAUUAUUAGGUCUUUCAACCUUUCGGUUGAAAGACCUAUAGGUUUUGUUCUGAUUAUUAUUAUUAUUUUUUUUCUUCCGCCUAAUUUUUUUCUUUCGUAAUAUUGAUGUUUCAAAAGAUGUCGCUUAGAUAUUUGGAAUAUGAUAUCGUAAAGUGUAUGCGCUUUAAAAACUGACAACUGCGUAAACAAAUACUUUACGUUGUAAGAGUUAUCUCCCCAAACACUGUUUUUCUUGUGGCCACUACUCCUUCGCAACCGUAAAAGAUUACGACAAAUUUAUUUUACCAAAUUGCUCGUUACAUCUUCAGGAUUAGGAUUUUAAUUUUAACUGAAGCUAUCCGGAAACUCCAUAUGAGAGUUAUUCCCCCUUUUCCAUUAAAUUAAGUGAUAUGCAUUUCUAAAUGGUAAACCAUAAGUGAUAGAGACCUAGGGUCUUUAGAUUUGAGGUCCUUGGUCCCAAAAAAAUGAAAAUAAGGUCAAGGUCAAAGGUCAAGGUCAUAUUCUAAAUUUUGAUUUUGGCUUAUUUUCACUUAUUUUCAAAUACCGUAUGACAUAUUCGACAAAUAAUUUUUUCAUAAAUUGUUAGUUGCGACAUGUUCUUACUUGUAUAUUUUGGUUGAAAGGGUGCGCAGACAAUAAAUGGGAGUUUUUGCCCAUCUUACAUUUAGAAUUAUGCGUAAAGUGAUAUUACUCAUUAACAAAACAUAUUAAAGACCUAGGGUCUUUUGAUUUAAGGUCCUUGGUUUGUGACCUUGAAAUUGAGGUCAAGGUCAUAGGUUAAUAGGACGUUCUAGAUUUUGACCUUUGCUUUAAAUUCAUAUUAAUACAUCAUAAAGCCAUAGGAACUAACAUUUUAAACUGAUUUUUCAUAUU